UCGUUCCUGUUCAAAAUCCAA
rnacentral:piRNA from 1 species